rnacentral:rRNA from 1 species
AGGUGGGAGGCUAUGAAACCGGAACGCUAGUUUCGGUGGAGCCGUCCUUGAAAUACCACCCUGGUUUGUUUGAGGUUCUAACCUUGGCCCGUGAUCCGGGUCGGGGACAGUGCAUGGUAGGCAGUUUGACUGGGGCGGUCUCCUCCCAAAGUGUAACGGAGGAGCUCGAAGGUACACUCAGCAUGGUUAGCAAUCAUGCGUAGAGCGUAAGG